rnacentral:rRNA from 1 species
GUGAGGAAUAUUGGUCAAUGGGCGAGAGCCUGAACCAGCCAAGUAGCGUGAAGGAUGACUGCCCUAUGGGUUGUAAACUUCUUUUAUAAAGGAAUAAAGUCGGGUAUGCAUACCCGUUUGCAUGUACUUUAUGAAUAAGGAUCGGCUAACUCCGUGCCAGCAGCCGCGGUAAUACGGAGGAUCCGAGCGUUAUCCGGAUUUAUUGGGUUUAAAGGGAGCGUAGAUGGAUGUUUAAGUCAGUUGUGAAAGUUUGCGGCUCAAACGUAAAAUUGCAGUUGAUACUGGAUAUCUUGAGUGCAGUUGAGGCAGGCGGAAUUCGUGGUGUAGCGGUGAAAUGCUUAGAUAUCACGAAGAACUCCGAUUGCGAAGGCAGCCUGCUAAGCUGCAACUGACAUUGAGGCUCGAAAGUGUGGGUAUCAAACAGGAUUAGAAACCCUAGUAGUCC